rnacentral:lncRNA from 10 species
UGAAGGUUCAAAAAAAUUGGUAAUAUUUUAAUCUCACAAGAGACAGAGAAUCAAGGAAAUUACUCAUGGUUCCUAUGAAUAAAUUCUGAUAUACUACAAUAUUGUAUGGCAAAAUAUAUGUAUCAAGAUUUUUAAAAAUAUUUAUCUUUAAGCCACUAUUUUUAUUUCUAGUUCCCUGUUUUAAAGAGAUGAAUACAUAUGUGAAACAAAAAUCUUUCAUAAAAACACUUAGCAUAGCAUUAUUUAUAUUACAGUAAUGGUAAACUAACAAUACAUCCAAUAUUGAAGUAUGGCCAAGCAAAUUUUGGCCUUUCCAUAUAUAGUAUAUUAUUCAGAAAUUAAAAAAAUGACUUUUACUAAAGUAGCCAGUUGCAAUUAAUCUAAUCUACUGCCAAUACUGAGUUUAUCAACUGAAAUUCUGUAAUAAAUACAAUCUCUAGCUAAUAUAUUUGAAAAUGCUAUAAUACAAAGGGUUUUAAAGGUAGUCUCUAUGGGUCCGGUUUUUCUUAAUUCUACUAGCAAGGCAGUGAACUGCCCAAGAAGUAAAAGAUAAGUCAUUUAGUGAAAGCAAGCAAUAUGUAUUUUAGAAAUAUAUACAUAUGCAAUGAAGCUAUUUUUAAAAGAUGGGGUCAGGGUAAUGUAUAAAAUGUACAGGGUAGAGGCUUAUUGCUGGGGAAGGGAAAGUUUACUGGGAGGUGGAUUGACAAGGAUGAAGGCGCGCAUACACAGACAUACACAGAAUGUUGUUGUAUAGUUUCAGCUUUUUUUUUUUUUUUUUUUUUUUUGAGAUGGACUCUCGCUCUGUCGCCCAGGCUGGAGUGCAGUGGCACGAUCUCGGCUCACUGCAAGCUCCGCCUCCCGGGUUCAUGCCAUUCUCCUGCCUCAACCUCCCGAGUAGCUGGGACUACAGGCGCCCGCCACCGCGCCCAGCUAAUUUUUUGCAUUUUUAGUAGAGAUGGGGUUUCACCGUGUUAGCCAGGAUGGUCUCAAUCUCGUGACCUUGUGACCCGCCCGCCUUGGCCUCCCAAAGUGCUGGGAUUACAGGCUUCAGCCACUGUGCCUGGCCAGUUUCAGCUCUUAAUCUGAGUGGUGGGUCCAUGGAUGUUCUUUGUGGUUUUGCUUCACAAUCUAUAUAUGUUGCAGUUAUUCUUGUGCUUAUCUCACAUAUGAAAUAAUAUUUUUAAAGGCAUAAGAGAACAUAUAUCUCUCAGAAAGAUAUAAAAAAGAAUAAAGUUUGACUCUUGCCUUUGUUAGAGACAUGCUGUCAUUCUUCGCUAAUGUCACCACUGACUUCUCUGCACUUUCUCUAUUUAUCUGUUACACAGGCUUGCAUGCUCUCAAAGUUUAUGGUGAAAAAGAACUCAGGCAAUUGGAAAGUGACUUUAUGUAAAGUCAUUUUUCACUAUUCCUUCUCAGUAAUUUAAGAAGUAGCCAGCUAGUUGGAUGGGAAUGGCAAGAAGAAGAGGCAGAUAAAGUUAUCCUACAUGACAUAGCUGUAGUCGGAGUUGCUUGCAAGACCUUUGCUUCUAGAGCUGGAGUCCCAUAUCCUUCAAUAGAGAGAAGAAUAAUAUUUGUAAAUAUUGCCUGAAGGAUCAUAAGAGGAUUAUCGUUACUGACCCUGUCACAUUUAUCAAAAAAGUCUAUCCUAAGCUGAUGGAUCUAAAUAUAAAUACAAUGAUGGAUUCAACCAGAUUUUUACAAAGUAAUCUUUAUUUACACACACACACACACACACACACACACAUGCACACUUUCAGCUUAAAAUAGAGACAAAGGAAAACAAUACUUAUUGUAAUGUAGCAACAUUAUCAUUAUAUAUACAUUAUCAUUAUAUGCGUGUGUAUAUAUAUAAAUAUAUAUAUAUAUAUUUGCCCCAAAUUAGACAUUAAACCAUGUUAUUUUAAAAGUAAAUGCGAAAGUAGGUGAGCGCAGGACAUGAGGCAAAAUUAAAAUGUACUGAGUAUUUAGUAAUAAGACCUAGAGCUAUGAGAAUUUUAGAGGAAAUAUAACCAGAAUAAAUCACAAGACAUUACGUAUAUAUGUAUUGAAGACUGUCUAUAUCCAUGGGGAGUCCAAUAUUGUUUUCAUGAACCUAUAUUCACCAAAUCUCUCCAAAGUUUUCCCAGUAAUUAGUUAUAACAUUUGCUUGCAAUAUAGUCAUUGUAAGAAUAAGAUAUAUACUAACAUAGCUAGUUUAUUACUCUUUUUACUCUAUCCUAUAGCAGUGAAACAUUCCAAAUGUAGUCCUCAGGUUGAAUAAUGCAUAUAAAAAACAAUGAAAUAUUUAAACAACUUGAUAUUUCACACUGUAAGGGGAUCAGUUAUGUUUCCAUCAACUAGUUUACCAAUUUACUCAUUUAUUCAAAAUUUAAAAAAUUUUAAAAACC